rnacentral:tRNA from 1 species
GUGUAUGUAAUUUAAAAAAAAUAUCAAGCUGUGACCCUGACAUUAGGAAACCCCCUCAUACAC